CACGUAGGGGGCGAGCGUUGUCCGGAAUCAUUGGGCGUAAAGAGCUCGUAGGCGGCUCAGUAAGUCGGGUGUGAAACCCUCAGGCUCAACCUGGGGACGCCACCCGAUACUGCUGUGGCUAGAGUCCAGUAGGGGAGUGUGGAAUUCCCGGUGUAGCGGUGAAAUGCGCAGAUAUCGGGAGGAACACCAGCGGCGAAGGCGGCACUCUGGGCUGGAACUGACGCUGAGGAGCGAAAGCGUGGGGAGCAAACGGG
rnacentral:rRNA from 1 species